UCNUCUGGCUUAACUGGGGGCUUGCGGUGGGUACGGGCCGGCUUGAGUGCGGUAGGGGAGACUGGAACUCCUGGUGUAGCGGUGGAAUGCGCAGAUAUCAGGAAGAACACCGGUGGCGAAGGCGGGUCUCUGGGCCGUUACUGACGCUGAGGAGCGAAAGCGUGGGGAGCGAACAGGAUUAGAUACCCUGGUAGUNCACGCCGUAAACGUUGGGCACUAGGUGUGUGGGGCCUUUUCCGGGUCUUCCGCGCCGUAGCUAACGCAUUAAGUGCCCCGCCUGGGGAGUACGGCCGCAAGGCUAAAACUCAAAGGAAUUGACGGGGGCCCGCACAAGCGGCGGAGCAUGCGGAUUAAUUCGAUGCAACGCGAAGAACCUUACCAAGGCUUGACAUGUGCCGGUCGGCUCCGGAGACGGGGUUUCCUCCUUGUGGGGCCGGUUCACAGGUGGUGCAUGGUUGUCGUCAGCUCGUGUCGUGAGAUGUUGGGUUAAGUCCCGCAACGAGCGCAACCCUUGUCCCGUGUUGCCAGCACGUUGUGGUGGGGACUCGCGGGAGACUGCCGGGGUCAACUCGGAGGAAGGUGGGGAUGACGUCAAAUCAUCAUGCCCCUUAUGUCUUGGGCUUCACGCAUGCUACAAUGGCCGGUACAGAGGGCUGCGAUACCGUGAGGUGGAGCGGAUCCCUUAAAGCCGGUCUCAGUUCGGAUCGGUGUCUGCAACUCGACACCGUGAAGUUGGAGUCGCUAGUAAUCGCAGAUCAGCAACGCUGCGGUGAAUACGUUCUCGGGCCUUGUACACACCGCCCGUCACGUCAUGAAAGUCGGCAACACCCGAAGCCCGUGGCCCUACGGGGAG
rnacentral:rRNA from 1 species